rnacentral:rRNA from 1 species
AACGAACGCUGGCGGCAGGCUUAACACAUGCAAGUUGAACGCCCCGCAAGGGGAGUGGCAGACGGGUGAGUAACGCGUGGGAACAUACCCUUUCCUGCGGAAUAGCUCUGGGAAACUGGAAUUAAUACCGCAUACGCCCUACGGGGGAAAGAUUUAUCGGGGAAGGAUUGGCCCGCGUUGGAUUAGCUAGUUGGUGGGGUAAAGGCCUACCAAGGCGACGAUCCAUAGCUGGUCUGAGAGGAUGAUCAGCCACAUUGGGACUGAGACACGGCCCAAACUCCUACGGGAGGCAGCAGUGGGGAAUAUUGGACAAUGGGCGCAAGCCUGAUCCAGCCAUGCCGCGUGAGUGAUGAAGGCCUUAGGGUUGUAAAGCUCUUUCACCGAUGAAGAUAAUGACGGUAGUCGGAGAAGAAGCCCCGGCUAACUUCGUGCCAGCCGCCGCAGUAAAAC